UACGUAGGGUGCAAGCGUUGUCCGGAAUUAUUGGGCGUAAAGAGCUCGUAGGCGGUCUGUCGCGUCUGCUGUGAAAACUCGGGGCUUAACCCCGGGCCUGCAGUGGGUACGGGCAGACUAGAGUGCGGUAGGGGAGACUGGAAUUCCUGGUGUAGCGGUGAAAUGCGCAGAUAUCAGGAGGAACACCGGUGGCGAAGGCGGGUCUCUGGGCCGAUACUGACGCUGAGGUGCGAAAGCGUGGGGAGCAAACAGG
rnacentral:rRNA from 1 species